rnacentral:rRNA from 1 species
UACGUAGGGGGCUAGCGUUGUCCGGAUUUAUUGGGCGUAAAGGGCGCGUAGGCGGCCUUUCAAGUGACGGGUGAAAUCCCUCGGCUUAACCGAGGAACUGCCUGUCAGACUGGAAGGCUUGAGACCGGGAGAGGUGAGUGGAAUUCCCAGUGUAGCGGUGAAAUGCGUAGAUAUUGGGAGGAACACCAGUGGCGAAGGCGGCUCACUGGACCGGUACUGACGCUGAGGCGCGAAAGCGUGGGGAGCAAACAGG